CUCAGUCAACUGCAGCGGGUCUUUCCCACCAGGCUGAUGACAAGAAAAACCAAGCAGCCCCAGCAAGGCAAGAGAACCAAAGAGCAGCAUUCACCUUUCAAGUGCCUCAGCAACUGCAUAUACUGGCAUGACUGCCAACCAGCGAGCCUUCUCCACAACACCUACGGGUCCGCCUUAGCUGUGCAAGUCAAGCAAAGAGGACGAAAAAGAAGGCACAAGACUCUAAGAUAGAGCCAGAGGAAGACCAGCAAGACUUUGGAACCAAAAUCCAGAAACACAAGAAAAAUUGCACAGUAUGAAAUUUGAAGGCUGCAGACAAACACCAAUGAGUUUUGCAGAACUGCUGUAAGAUUUCCCAUUCAGAUUAAAAUGGCUGCGCAGAGCAGAGAACAGGAGCAACACCUUUGUGUACACAAACGGAUGUACGUUCCCGUUACAGCUUCUUACUGGAGAGGCUCCACCACUGCAAAGACAAAGCAUCUCUACACAAGGAAGUUUGGCAGAGCAAAACAUUAGGAAGGAAAUAAAAACAAAGAGCAGAACGGCAAAGAUGACAAAUUCAGCCACCAACUGCAGGACUACUGAAGAUAUUUGAUCACCUCACAAACAAAACGAAUUUAUCUUCUGUGACUUGCUCUUACAUACUGGAUAUAAUAGUAAAAUUACAUGAAGCG
rnacentral:lncRNA from 7 species